GACGAACGCUGGCGGCGUGCUUAACACAUGCAAGUCGAGCGGUAAGGCACUUCUGUGGUACUCGAGCGGCGAACGGGAGAGUAACACGUGAGUAAUCUGCCCCAUGCUCCGGAAUAGCCAGCCGAAAGGCUGAUUAAUGCCGGAUAUGACAUCGUCAGGCAUCUGGGGGUGUGGAAAGUUUUUUCGGCGUGGGAUGUGCUCGCGGCCUAUCAGCUUGUUGGUGGGGUAAUGGCCUACCAAGGCUUCGACGGGUAGCCGGCCUGAGAGGGUGACCGGCCACACUGGGACUGAGACACGGCCCAGACUCCUACGGGAGGCAGCAGUGGGGAAUAUUGGACAAUGGGCGGAAGCCUGAUCCAGCAACGCCGCGUGAGGGAUGACGGCCUUCGGGUUGUAAACCUCUUUCAGCACCGACGAAGCGUCAAGUGACGGUAGGUGCAGAAGAAGGACCGGCCAACUACGUGCCAGCAGCCGCCGUAA
rnacentral:rRNA from 1 species